GGGGGGGGGGGGGGGGGGGGGGGGGGGGGGGGGGGGGGGGGGGGGGGGGGGGGGGGGGGGGGGGGGGGGGGGGAUGGGUUUGGGUUUGGGUUAGGGUUAGGUUUAGGGUUAGGGCUAGGGGUAGGGCUACAGUUGGGGUAUGGGUUGGGCUAGGGCUAAGGUUAGGGUUUGGGUUAGGGUUAGGGUUAGGAUUAGGACUAGAGUUAGGGUUAGGGGUUAGGGUUAGGAUUAGGGUUAGGGUUAGGGUUAGGGUUAGGGUUAGGGUUAGGGUUAGGUUAGGGUUAGGGUUAGGGUUAGGGUUAGGGUUAUGGUUAGGGUUAGGGUUAGGUUUAGGGCUAGGUGCCUUAUAAGAUUGCUCUCAAAGUUGCUAUUAGAUUAUGUGUGAUAGAAGGAAAUGUGCUGCCCCAAAGAUUGGGGGUAGUAAACAUAAUUAUGUUUAGUGUUC
rnacentral:lncRNA from 12 species